GCUGUGCUGGAAGGAGACAGCAGCAGCGUGCCUGUGGGAGAACACUGACUAAGGAGGGCUCCAGAACACAGAACUUCUCAAAAUUCAGGACCUGCGAGUACCCCAGGUUGAGAAAGCAAUAAGGAACCAAACUUUACGUGUCUUGUGAGUCUAACCACCGGGAGUUUCAGAUCCGUGGAUUUGGUGAGGACCUUCUUGCUGUGUCGUCUCAUUCUGGAAGGGGAAAGGUGGAAGGAAUGAAUAAAGAAGGGAAGGACAAAGAGACAUCCACAGGCAUCAAAGGCAUCUCCAAAGGACAAAAGAAAGAGAAGAGCCAGCUGUUUAUUUCUGGAUUCCCGAGUUGUUUGUUAUCAGCUUCUCUCAGUUUCUUGACUGAAGACCAGAUCAGCUGACCUCCAACUUCUGCUGUCAUGUCUUGCCUACUGUGACGGACUGCAUCUUAGAACUAUGAUCCAGAAGAAGCCUCACUCCUUUAAGUUGCCUUUGUCAAUUUUUUUUUGUAACAACAAAUAAAUGCUGUUCCUACCU